rnacentral:rRNA from 1 species
UUGGAGGGCAGUCUGGUGCCAGCAGCCGCGGUAAUUCCAGCUCCAAUAGCGUAUACUAAAGUUGUUGCAGUUAAAAAGCUCGUAGUUGAAUUUCGGGAUCAGAGUGUCGGUCGUGCCUCGGUACGCACUGGUAUUAUUGGUUCCUACCUUCUGAAGAACCGCGAUGUCAUUAAUUUGGUGUCGUGGGGAAUCAGGACUGUUACUUUGAAAAAAUUAGAGUGUUUAAAGCAGGCUUACGCUUGAAUACAUUAGCAUGGAAUAAUGAAAUAGGACGUUUGAUUCUAUUUUGUUGGUUUCUAGGAUUGACGUAAUGAUUAAUAGGGAUAGUUGGGGGCAUUAGUAUUCAAUUGUCAGAGGUGAAAUUCUUGGAUUUAUUGAAGACUAACUACUGCGAAAGCAUUUGCCAAGGAUGUUUUCAUUAAUCAAGAACGAAAGUUAGGGGAUCGAAGACGAUCAGAUACCGUCGUAGUCUUAACCAUAAACUAUGCCGACUAGGGAUCGGAUGAUGUUAAUUUUUUAAUGACUCAUUCGGCGCCUUACGGGAAAC